CCGCACCGCGUGAGCCUCGGCUGCGCCGGCGCGGACGACAUCGCCAUCGAGCAGGGCCCGGGGACGACGCUGCCCAGCGGGGUCCCGUCCUACACGGUGGACAUAAUCAACCGCUGCUCCGGCGCAGGACGCGAAGCGUGCGCCAUCUCUGGCAUCCGCGUGCGCUGCGGCUGGUUCAGCUCCGUCACCCUCGUCGACCCCAGCAAGUUCCGCCGGGUGGCGCCCGACGACUGCCUCGUCAACGACGGCAAGCCGCUCUUGGCUGACGACACCAUCUCCUUCGAGUACGCCAACUCGUUCCAAUACAAGCUCUCCGUCGCCAAGGCCACCUGCGUCCACCCCGCCGCCGACACCUCCGACUAG
rnacentral:rRNA from 1 species